ACUUUCAAUUCCAAUAAAUAAUAUAUACAGGUUAGUUAAAAAGUUUAUGCUCUCACCAAGAAAUACUAGCUCCAAAGUUUAUUCUCAAGUUGGUUCUUAUCUGUCGUGAAAACACAUGCAAAGUUACAAGUCAUUCUGUUAAUUAAUUCUUUGUUUACAAUGUUUGAAGUUUGCGUGUCAGAGUAUUUUUUUAAUAUGGAAAACAUUGUAUAUUGCGCAGUGAAUAGAUUCUUUGCUUUAAAUGGUUUAAAAGCAAAAGAAAUUUAUGAAAAAUUAUUAGAAGUGUAAUAUAAGGAGUCCUUAUCUGAAUUUAAACACGCAAAGGACGAUCCAAAACCACAACUACACCAGAAAUCAUUGAGCAAGUUCAUAAUAUUAUUUACAUAUAAAAAAGUUAGUGCCGCACAAGUUAACAAUUCAACAUAAACUGAAUCGAAAACAAAUUUAUCAGCAUGGUCUGGAGCAUUUUAAGCAGAAUAAAACCGAUUUCUUGCGUCGUUUUAUAAGUACGGAUGAGAGUUGGAUCUACCACCAUAAUCCUAAAUUGAAACAAAAACGUCUACAAUGGACUGAAGCUGUUUGUUCAGCUACAAAGCAGG